rnacentral:rRNA from 1 species
UACGUAGGGGGCAAGCGUUGGUUCGGAGUUACUGGGCGUAAAGGGUGCGGUAGGCGGUGGAGUAAGUCGGAUGUGAAAUACCAUAGCUUAACUAUGGAACUGCACUCGAUACUACUUUGCUAGAGUAAGACAGAGGUGAGUGGAACUGAGGGUGGAGCGGUGAAAUGCGCAGAUAUCGGGAGGAACACCAGUAGCGAAGGCGGCACUCUGGGCCGGUACUGACGCUGAGGAGCGAAAGCGUGGGGAGCAAACAGG